rnacentral:rRNA from 1 species
AGAGUUUGAUCAUGGCUCAGAUUGAACGCUGGCGGAUGCCUUACACAUGCAAGUCGAACGGCAGCGCGGGGCAACCUGGCGGCGAGUGGCGAACGGGUGAGUAAUAUAUCGGAACGUACCCUGGAGUGGGGGAUAACGUAGCGAAAGUUACGCUAAUACCGCAUACGAUCUAAGGAUGAAAGUGGGGGAUCGCAAGACCUCAUGCUCCUGGAGCGGCCGAUAUCUGAUUAGCUAGUUGGUGGGGUAAAGGCCUACCAAGGCAUCGAUCAGUAGCUGGUCUGAGAGGACGACCAGCCACACUGGAACUGAGACACGGUCCAGACUCCUACGGGAGGCAGCAGUGGGGAAUUUUGGACAAUGGGCGCAAGCCUGAUCCAGCAAUGCCGCGUGAGUGAAGAAGGCCUUCGGGUUGUAAAGCUCUUUUGUCAGGGAAGAAACGGUGAGGGCUAAUAUCCCUUGCUAAUGACGGUACCUGAAGAAUAAGCACCGGCUAACUACGUGCCAGCAGCCGCGGUAAUACGUAGGGUGCAAGCGUUAAUCGGAAUUACUGGGCGUAAAGCGUGCGCAGGCGGUUUUGUAAGUCUGUCGUGAAAUCCCCGGGCUCAACCUGGGAAUUGCGAUGGAGACUGCAAGGCUAGAAUCUGGCAGAGGGGGGUAGAAUUCCACGUAGCAGUGAAAUGCGUAGAGAUGUGGAGGAACACCGAUGGCGAAGGCAGCCCCCUGGGUCAAGAUUGACGCUCAUGCACGAAAGCGUGGGGAGCAAACAGGAUUAGAUACCCUAGUAGUCC